CGAAGGGGGCUAGCGUUGCUCGGAAUUACUGGGCGUAAAGGGUGCGCAGGCGGUGGCCCGCGUGGGCGGUGAAAGCUCCUGGCUCAACUGGGAGAGGGCCGUCCAGACGGGGUCACUUGAGGGGCGGAGAGGGGCGUGGAAUUCCGGGUGGAGCGGUGAAAUGCGUAGAGAUCCGGAGGAACACCGACGGCGAAGGCAGCGCCCUGGCCGCCAUCUGACGCUCAGGCACGAAAGCUGGGGGAGCGAACAGG
rnacentral:rRNA from 1 species